rnacentral:rRNA from 1 species
UACGUAGGGUGCAAGCGUUGUCCGGAAUUAUUGGGCGUAAAGAGCUCGUAGGCGGUUUGUCGCGUCUGCUGUGAAAACUCGGGGCUUAACUCCGGGCCUGCAGUGGGUACGGGCAGACUAGAGUGCGGUAGGGGAGACUGGAAUUCCUGGUGUAGCGGUGAAAUGCGCAGAUAUCAGGAGGAACACCCGUGGCGAAGGCGGCUCUCUGGGACGGUACUAACGCUGAGACGCGAAAGCGUGGGGAGCGAACAGG